rnacentral:rRNA from 1 species
AUUGAACGCUGGCGGCAGGCCUAACACAUGCAAGUCGAGCGGAUGAUGGGAGCUUGCUCCUGGAUUCAGCGGCGGACGGGUGAGGAAUGCCUAGGAAUCUGCCUGGUAGUGGGGGACAACGUUUCGAAAGGAACGCUAAUACCGCAUACGUCCUACGGGAGAAAGCAGGGGACCUUCGGGCCUUGCGCUAUCAGAUGAGCCUAGGUCGGAUUAGCUUGUUGGUGAGGUAAUGGCUCACCAAGGCGACGAUCCGUAACUGGUCUGAGAGGAUGAUCAGUCACACUGGAACUGAGACACGGUCCAGACUCCUACGGGAGGCAGCAGUUGGGAAUAUUGGACAAUGGGCGAAAGCCUGAUCCAGCCAUGCCGCGUGUGUGAAGAAGGUCUUCGGAUUGUAAAGCACUUUAAGUUGGGAGGAAGGGUUGUAGAUUAAUACUCUGCAAUUUUGACGUUACCGACAGAAUAAGCACCGGCUAACUCUGUGCCAGCCGCCGCGGUAAUAC